CACCAAUAAAAAAAGGGCAUGGGCCCCUUCAAUGUGAGGGUGUUGUAAACCGAGCUUGCAUACAGCUCGGUCUUAAUUGAAUUUCCUUCCAUGAAGGUUCUUGGUAAACAUGAGUCAAUGCAGUACUAAAAGAACAUGAGUCCAGGUUAUUUUCUCCUUGCCCUGUUUGUUUUAGGAUUUUUAAGAUUAUUCUAUUCAAGAUAAAUAUAUUAUGAUCGGUAAAUAUUUCCUUUGAUUAUUGUUAUUAAAUAAUUAUUAAUAAAUGAUUCUUUGAAUCAAUCUUGCAUCUUUGGUCCUGAAGCACUGUGAGUGAUAGGCUCAAUUGGAGAUUUGGUCCCAUACUCACAACGUUCAAUACAAUAUUUCUUUUCCUCAAUAUCAAAUGACUAAACUUUGUUAGGGGAUAAAUAAAGAUUUUUCUAAUCUUCUUUUGCAAUAAUGUUGAUAGAAUCAUGGUUUUAAUUAACUUUUAUUGUAUUGUUGCAACGUUUCAUGUUGCGACGUUAUAAUUAAUGGAAGGUUGCAAUGAAAAAACUUCAAAAUCUUAAUGACAAUUAAAAUAUAGUGUAAUUAUUUUUAUUUUUUUUUGGUAUAUUAUAAUAUCUAAUUUUUAGACAUGUAAUGUUUAAAUCGUUCCAUUACAAGAAGAAGAAGUGUAAAACGAGAAAAUGGAGUUGGACAAAAAGAAGAAAAAGUGAGUGGGAGGACAAGAUGGUAAAUUUUUGCUCAUUAUAGAGGGUAGUGAAAGGGUUGCAGUAUAAAAAGCUAUUUGUGUACAAUAACGUAUCAUGUGCAUUGUCAAUGGAAAGGACUGGUAACGUGUAAUUUUAUUUUUAUUAUUUUUUUAAAUCAGAGUGCAAAAUGGGCAACAACAGGGGCUCAAUUAUUGAACCAAAGGGAGAGCCCCAUCAAGUCAGGAAAGCACUAGGAAUUAUCAAUACAAUUAUUGAACCAAAGGGACAAAAUAUAUCUAAGCUAAUUAUAUUUUUAUUUUUUUAGCGGACUAACCAUUGGAAAAUAACUUAUUGGGUAAUAAACCUAAAAAUUAAAUGAAAUACUAUCAAUGCGAACUUUAUGUUAAUAUUAGUACAAUUGUUUAUCCAGUUUCUCGUUCAACCCCAAUAUUUUACUCGUCUCUCAUAAUAUCUAAGCUUGACUUGCAUCUUGACGUCUCCAUUUAAUUUAUUUACUGACUCAUGCAUUUUCAUAAUUUCACGUGCUUUUUUUUUUUUUUUUUGUCAUUUUUGUUAGUAUGUGAUGUUACAAAAUUUUAUCUCGCUCUUUCUAGAGGAAUGCAUAAUAAUUAAUUUGGCAGGUUGGGUCGGAGUCAAGAGAGGAAGAAAUCCAAUACUAAAGCUGGAGUCUAAUGAACAUAUUAGGCAUUUUAUCACCGUUCAAAUUUGAUUGGAAACUGCUUUGUUUUCAUAUGGGCGUCUGUAUUGUAAAUUUAAGUACAAUAAUGCCUUAAUUUUUAAGGUUGUGUAUUACAACAGUGUUUUAAUACUUUCAUAGAAUUUGCAAUAGAAAUGGUUAAAAAACCAGAAAAUAGAUCACAAACUUUGCAUUUGAC
rnacentral:lncRNA from 1 species